rnacentral:rRNA from 1 species
UACGUCGGGUGCGAGCGUUGUCCGGAAUUAUUGGGCGUAAAGGGCUCGUAGGCGGUUUGUCGCGUCGGGAGUGAAAACCUUGGGCUUAACUCAGGGCUUGCUUUCGAUACGGGCAGACUAGAGGUAUGCAGGGGAGAACGGAAUUCCUGGUGUAGCGGUGAAAUGCGCAGAUAUCUGGAGGAACACCGGUGGCGAAGGCGACAUCCUGGACCGGUAUUGACGCUGAGGCGCGAAAGCCAGGGGAGCAAACGGG